GAUGAACGCUGGCGGCGUGCCUAAUACAUGCAAGUCGAGCGAACAGACGAGGAGCUUGCUCCUCUGACGUUAGCGGCGGACGGGUGAGUAACACGUGGAUAACCUACCUAUAAGACUGGGAUAACUUCGGGAAACCGGAGCUAAUACCGGAUAAUAUAUUGAACCGCAUGGUUCAAUAGUGAAAGACGGUUUUGCUGUCACUUAUAGAUGGAUCCGCGCCGCAUUAGCUAGUUGGUAAGGUAACGGCUUACCAAGGCAACGAUGCGUAGCCGACCUGAGAGGGGGAUGGGCGACAGUGGAAUAGAGACAAGGUACAGAGUACUGCGGGAGGGAGCAGGGGGGAAUGUGACGAAAUGGGCGGAAGCUUGACGGAUCAAGGCCGAGGGAGUGAUGAAGGGUGUCGGAUAGUAAAAAAGUGUUAUUAGGGAAGAAAAAAGGUGUAAGGAACUAUGAAGGGCUAGACGGGACCGAAUCAGAAAGACACGGCUAAUUACGUG
rnacentral:rRNA from 1 species